rnacentral:lncRNA from 1 species
UGGUACCAGGGAUUGAACCCAGGGGUGCUUACCCACUGAGGCUGGCUUUGAACUGUAGAUCCUCCUGCCUCAGCCUUUCAAGCCUCUGGGAUUACAGGUGCAUGUAACUGGCUUGAUUUUGUUUUGAGGCUGGGUCUCCUCAGUUGCUCAGGCUGGCCUCAAACUUGGGAUCGAUUUUGGAAUUGAUUGAAUUUGUUAUCCUUUUGUCUCAGUGUCUGGAAUAGCUGGGAUUAUAAGCAUGUACCAUCGCACUUGGCUCAACUUUUACAUUUUGAUGAAAGCUGCUUUGACCUUUUCCACAGAAAAUUGUCCAUACACAGAAAAUCUGGUUUGGAUUUUUCAGGGCAUUCUUGGGUCCCUGUUAAAGGUUUAACUCUUUAGAUUGAAACUGGUCAUCCUUCAGAUUAUCAAGACAAAUGAGUUUGAAUUCAGGUGCCCAAAUAGUUUUUACUUAAACAGAACAAUUUUAAGUCUAUUAUGAACACAAAGCUUUUUUCUUUAUAUGAAAAGACUUCAGAGUGUAAUAUCUCUCAGGGCUGUAGACAUUUCUGGGGAGUCUAGUUGCUGUUUGGGGGCAGGCAGCCAGAUUGAUGAAGAAAAUUAGGCUGGGUAAGGUGGUGCACACCUGUAAUCCCAGAGGCUCAGGAGGCUGAGACAGGAGGAUUCUGAGUUCAAAGCCAGCCUCAGCAAUUUAGCGAGGUCCUAAGCAACUCAGUGAGAUCCUGUCUGUAAAUAAAAUACAAAAUAGGGCUGGGGAUGUGGCUCCGUAGUUGAGAGCCCCUGAGUUCAAUCCCUGGUAGCCCUCUCCCCAAGAAAAAAAAUCAGUGCGUUCUUUGAAGGAACUAAAUUUGUAAAAGACCUGUGUCAACCAGAAAAUGGCUGUGUCUUCAGCUGUUUUGUGAUAGAUAUAUGAUAUUAUUAUUUUGUACUGGCAAUAGAACCCAUGGGUACUUUACCACAGACUAUAUAUUUCAAUCCUUUUUAUUUUGAAACAGGGUCUUGCUAAGUUGCUUAGAGUCUCACUAAGUUGCUGAGGCUGGCCUCAAACUUACCAUCCUGCUGCCUCAACCUCCUCAGUUCCUGGGAUUAUAACAAGUACGUGCUAACUCUGUUGUGCAUCUAGUCUGG